UCUCUGAUGGUCUUGUGGUUAGCACUUGGAGCUUUCACCACUGUGGCCUGGGUUCAAUCCCUGGUCAGGGAA
rnacentral:tRNA from 1 species